rnacentral:misc_RNA from 1 species
GUAAAUCUAGCAAACGUUCACUACAAAACAUCAAAUGUCUAGCUCUUAGCUAGCUAACAGUCCUAUAGCAUACUAUCCUGCUAAACUUCAAUUCUGGAUAAAAUUUGAAAGCAGACCAGUGCAAACCCCAAACAUCUAAGCUAGUCAAGAAGCUAACCUUCUAGGUAUAUCUGUUUUGCAUUUGUGGGUUGUGUUUACGGCACAAAUGGUUAAGAUUAAUAUGUGCCUUGUGGCAGCACAUAUCUCUUAAUAAGUAGAUAAUUCAAAUUUCCUAUAGGGGGCCAAAUUGAAGAUUACAGCAUACAUGUGCGCUCAAUCCAACCCAAACCAAUGUGAACAAGAAAUGGACCAAACAUGAAGUCUGUAAAAUUGAGUUCUGCUGCAAUGUUUUACCCCAUUUUAAGCGAACAUGAAAUUCACAUCUUAGCCACCAAGUAAAAAACCCAUUGUCAGUGUCACCCCCAAACUACUGAUCAAACAUACAACAAAUCACAAGUAAGAAAACCGUAAGCAAUUAACAUUAAUUUGAGCUUCUAGUUUCCAACAACACAGGUACAGUUGUGCCAUUAAACUUACAUAUAAUAGCUGGCAUUCACUUUCAUUUCCAUAUACUUUCAACGAACUCAUUCUUCAGCAGGAGGACAUUCUGGCAUCUCUGAAACCUUCCGUUUUGCAAAUAUUUCCUU